GAACCUUACCAGGUCUUGACAUACUCGUGCUAUUCCUAGAGAUAGGAAGUUCCUUCGGGACACGGGAUACAGGUGGUGCAUGGUUGUCGUCAGCUCGUGUCGUGAGAUGUUGGGUUAAGUCCGCAACGAGCGCAACCCCUAUUGUUAGUUGUCAUCAUUAAGUUGGGCACUCUAACGAGACUGCCGGUGAUAAACCGGAGGAAGGUGGGGAUGACGUCAAAUCAUCAUGCCCCUUAUGACCUGGGCUACACACGUGCUACAAUGGAUGGUACAACGAGUCGCGAGACAGUGAUGUUUAGCUAAUCUCUUAAAACCAUUCUCAGUUCGGAUUGUAGGCUGCAACUCGCCUACAUGAAGUCGGAAUCGCUAGUAAUCGCGGAUCAGCACGCCGCGGUGAAUACGUUCCCGGGCCUUGUACACACCGCCCGUCACACCACGGGAGUUGGGAGUACCCGAAGUAGGUUGCCUAACCGCAAGGAGGGCGCUUCCUAAGGUAAGACCGAUGACUGGGGUGAAGUCGUAACAAGGUAGGCGUAGCGAG
rnacentral:rRNA from 1 species